rnacentral:pre_miRNA from 1 species
AAAGUACCCCCUCCGUCCCAAAAUUCUCGUCUUAGAUUUGUCUAGAUACGGAUGUAUCAAGUCACAUUUUAGUAUUAGAUACAUCCGUAUCUAGACAAAUCUAAGACAAGAAAUUUGGGAUAGAGGGAGUAGUUG